CUCUUUGACGCCGGACAAUCGGAAGACGACGAGCGCGCAUUCACGUAUGCCGUGGAACGUGUCAACCUCAACAACGAUGUGCUGCCCAGAACUACAUUGCUUCCUCUACUGGAAACACUCAAGCCAAGAGACAGUUUUCAUGCAUCGAAAGCCGUGUGCAGCAUGCU
rnacentral:lncRNA from 1 species